rnacentral:rRNA from 1 species
UUGGCGGCGGAUGGGUGAGUAACACGUGGAUAUACCUAUAAGACUGGGACGGGCCGGAGCUAAUACCGGAUAAUAUAUUGAACCGCAUGGUUCAAUAGUGAAAGACGGUUUUGCUGUCACUUAUAGCUAGGUAAGGUAACGGCUUACCAAGGCAACGAUGCGUAGCCGACCUGAGAGGGUGAUCGGCCACACUGGAACUGAGACACGGUCCAGACUCCUACGGGAGGCAGCAGUAGGGAAUCUUCCGCAAUGGGCGAAAGCCUGACGGAGCAAAGCCUUGUGAGUGAUGAAAGUCUUCGGAUCGUAAAACUCCGUUACAAAAUAAGAACAAAUGUGCAAGACCCUAUGCACGUACUGAGGGUAACCAAUCACAAAGCCACGGCUAAGCACCUCCCAGCAGCCGAAGUAAUACGCAGGCGGCAUGCGUUAUCCCGCAAUAUUGGGCGUAAAGCGCGCGUAGGCGGUUUUUCAAGUCUGAUGUGAAAGCCCACGGCUCAACCGCGGAGGGUCAUUGGAAACUGGAAAACUUGAGUGCAGAAGAGGAAAGUGGAAUUCCAUGUGUAGCGGUGAAAUGCGCAGAGAUAUGGAGGAACACCAGUGGCGAAGGCGACUUUCUGGUCUGUAACUGACGCUGAUGUGCGAAAGCGUGGGGAUCAAACAGGAUUAGAUACCCUGGUAGUCCACGCCGUAAACGAUGAGUGCUAAAUGUUAGGGGGUUUCCGCCCCUUUAGUGCUGCAGCUAACGCAUUAACCGCACAAAUCUUGGAUUGCAAGUUGGGCACUCUAAGGAUUUGACUGCCGGUUAUGAUUUGGUGCUACACACGUGCUACAAUGGA